rnacentral:rRNA from 1 species
UACGUAGGGGGCUAGCGUUGUCCGGAAUUACUGGGCGUAAAGGGCGCGUAGGCGGCCUGCUAAGUCGGAUGUGAAAUCCCUCGGCUCAACCGAGGAACUGCAUCCGAUACUGGCGGGCUUGAAUCCGGGAGAGGGAUGUGGAAUUCCAGGUGUAGCGGUGAAAUGCGUAGAUAUCUGAAGGAACACCGGUGGCGAAGGCGGCAUCCUGGACCGGUAUUGACGCUGAGGCGCGAAAGCUAGGGGAGCAAACGGG